AUACGUAGGGAGCGAGCGUUGUCCGGAAUUACUGGGUGUAAAGGGAGCGUAGGCGGGAGUGCAAGUCAGAUGUGAAAUACAUGGGCUCAACCCAUGGGCUGCAUUUGAAACUGCAUUUCUUGAGUGAAGUAGAGGUAAGCGGAAUUCCUGGUGUAGCGGUGAAAUGCGUAGAUAUCAGGAGGAACACCGUUGGCGAAGGCGGCUUACUGGGCUUUUACUUACGCUGAGGCUCGAAAGCGUGGGGAGCGAACAGGAUUAGAUUCCCUGGUAGGCCACGCUGUAAACGAUGAUUACUAGGUGUGGGGGGACUGACCCCUUCCGUGCCGCAGUUAACACAAUAAGUAAUCCACCUGGGGAGUACGGCCGCAAGGUGGAAACUCAAAUGAAUUGACGGGG
rnacentral:rRNA from 1 species